rnacentral:rRNA from 1 species
UACAGAGGGUGCAAGCGUUGUUCGGAAUUACUGGGCGUAAAGCGCGCGCAGGCGGCUAUCCAAGUCAGUGGUGAAAGCCCGGAGCUCAACUCCGGAACUGCCAUUGAAACUGUUUAGCUUGAGGAUGAGAGAGGUGAGUGGAAUUCCCAGUGUAGAGGUGAAAUUCGUAGAUAUUGGGAAGAACACCGGUGGCGAAGGCGGCUCACUGGCUCAUUACUGACGCUCAGGCGCGAUAGCGUGGGGAUCAAACAGG